CUUGUGUACAAUUUGGAAAUUAGCAUGGCGUUCAUUAUCACUGAACUAGUAUAUAUUUGUUUAAGGGCCACGGAAGGACGCCUCCGGGUGCGGGAGUUUCUCGCUACAUUGAAGACCUGUUUGUGACCUUCUGCUGUUGUUUUUUCUAUGGUCGGGUUGUUGUCUCUUUGACACAUUCCCAAUUUCCAUUCUCAAUUUUAGUAUAAGCUCUAGAAAAAUUUCAAGUCUCAGGUACGAAAUCAUUUGAUUUGAGGAGGCAUUCUGAGAUAUUUGAGAGAGAAAAAAUUGACUCUGAUUCUUGCCUAAAACAAAAAUUCUGGCCGUAUCUGGAUUGAAAACAAUAGUCUUAUCCACUUUUUUCCUAUUAAAAACGAAAAUUUCCGACAAAAUUAUUAAGCAUGAAAUGAACAUGAUCAAUAAAAACGGACGUAGUUUUUUUUUGGCCGGGGUUUGCAUGUCUUACUGGAAUGUCUGUUUCACCGGACUGAUAUAUAUUGCAUACUUUUUCAAGACCAGACUGUAACCUGCCUACUGGGUGUGACCUUUAUGUCUCCAUUUGUGGACCGUCAUUCUAACUUCGUUGUCAUUUCAGACACUUUCGUUAUCUUUUGUGGAUUUGGAACCCCUCACUUCGGUUCUCUAUGUUAUGUUGGGUGAAACAUAUCAAUCAAACAUUUGGAUAAAAACUGCUUGUUUGUCUUUUUUAACUCGUGUCGGUCGUAUUGUAAAUUGAGUCGAAUUUUUUACUGACAAGUCCUACAUCAAAUAUAUCAGUACAUAGCUUUGGAUUUAUACUAUCAUUUUAUGAUAGGCAAUUAAUAGGGAGAAUACAGCAUAAAAAAUGUCAAAUCCUUACACUUUACAGCAACUAUAAAAUAUACAUGCCCCAAGCACUUAUUUUAUGUUUUUUAGCCCAAAAAGAGUCCCAAAAAUUUUUCGCCUCGCUCCGCUCGGCGAUCUUUUAAAUCUUCGCCCCCC
rnacentral:lncRNA from 1 species